rnacentral:rRNA from 1 species
GGUUUUUAGAAUUAAUUAAAAAUCAAGCCUGCUCAAUGCUAAGUAAAUAGCCGCAGAAUUUUAACUGUGCAAAGGUAGCAUAAUCACUUGUCUUUUAAUUGAGGACUAGAAUGAAAGGUUUAACUAUGUAAUUUUGUCUUAUAGUAAUAUUUUGAACUUAAUUUUUUAGUAAAAAAGCUAAAAUACAUCUUAAAGACGAGAAGACCCUAUUAAGCUUUACAAUCUAAUAUUAUUUUCAAACUAAUUAAAAAAUUGUUUUGCUGGGGCAGCAAAUAAAAAAAUAUUGUUUACAUAUUGUGAUUAAUAGAUCUAGAAAAAUCAAUAAUUUAUUAAAAAAUAAUAAGUUACUAUAGGGAUAACAGCAUAAUUUUUUUAAAGAGUUCUCAUCAACAAAAAAGUUUGUGACCUCGAUGUUGGAUUAAGAAUCCUAUUUCACGCAGUAGUAAAAAAAGGGAGUCUGUUCGACUUUUAAAUUCUUCCA